rnacentral:lncRNA from 1 species
UUCCAUAAAGACUUUGCUGCCUUCUUUAGAGCUCUUUAUCUUAUCUCCUGCAGGUCAUGAUGGCAUUUCCUGGCUCAGAGAGGACCCUAGAACACUGCAGGAUAAGUGCUGUUUCCUGCACUGGCACACCCAACACUUUCUGCCAUGCCCCCAAGCCCAAGCAGGAUUUGUCUUUCAGGUCUGUGCAAAUUGGGAUCCUGUGAUGGGGCUCAGCAGAAGGCCUCACUGGCUGCAGAGGAGUCCACCACUCCUCCUUACCCCAGCUGGUACAGGGACUGUGACAUCUGGGGUGGCACAUGAGGAGGAAGUCUUGUGGAGCUUUGGAGAUGUAUGCCAUUGAUAUAAUGUGAUCAGUUGGUCAAUUACGAGUAGCACUGAAAAAAUGAAAAAAACUUCUUGAAGGCUGGCACCUGGGGUAGUGCUCCACUCUGAAGCUCUUGUGCAGCCACUUCACUCAUAGUCUCCUUUCACCAGAGAAUAGGUGAACCCGAAUGGCAUGGUUAAUACCCCUUGCAGCUCAGCCCCAGUGCAUGCUCCUUGCCAAUAUGCUCUCUCUCCUGCCCAGUUCCCUUCUGCUGUGCUGCUCUCUAGGCUUUUCCUCUACAUCUAUGGCAGGAAGCUGAGCAGGACAGGAGCAGGAAAGGUGUGGGCAUGAGUCCCACAUCAAAGCUGAGAGAGGAGCAGCUUUGGAGAGGAUACUGCUUUCUAUCCUCCUAAAGCGGAUUGCUUAGUGUUAGAAUGAAACUUUUUAAAUUAGAAACAGGAGCUAAAUAGAUA